GAUGAACGCUGGCGGCGUGCCUAAUACAUGCAAGUCGAGCGAACGGACGAGAAGCUUGCUUCUCUGAUGUUAGCGGCGGACGGGUGAGUAACACGUGGAUAACCUACCUAUAAGACUGGGAUAACUUCGGGAAACCGGAGCUAAUACCGGAUAAUAUUUUGAACCGCAUGGUUCAAAAGUGAAAGACGGUCUUGCUGUCACUUAUAGAUGGAUCCGCGCUGCAUUAGCUAGUUGGUAAGGUAACGGCUUACCAAGGCAACGAUGCAUAGCCGACCUGUGAGGGUGAUCGGCCACACUGGAACUGGGCCACGGUCCUGACUCCUACGGGAGGCAGCAGUAGGGAAUCUUCCGCAAUGGGCGAAAGCCUGACGGAGCAGCGCCGCGUGAGUGAUGAAGGUCUUCGGAUCGUAAAACUCUGUUAUUAGGGAAGAACAUAUGUGUAAGUAACUGUGCACAUCUUGACGGUACCUAAUCAGAAAGCCACGGCUAACUACGUG
rnacentral:rRNA from 1 species